AAGAGAGCGAUGAAGGCAGCGCCGCAGACAGCCCCGGUCCUUGCCGGCAGGAAACACUCAAGGUCACAAGAGAGAAAUUGCAAACCGAUUGCAGUCUCCUUGCGUCAAAUGCGCGAGAGGAGGAGCUUUUGCGCCUGCGCAGCUGAUACCCCACGUACUGACCUAGCGCGCAUGUGCGAAGAGAGUCGGAGAAAGCGAGGGUGGAGACUUACAACCGCGCUCAUUGGAUGACGCAAUGCUCGCGAGUCUGGCCGGAACGGAGCCCGGGGGCGAGCCCGGACGUGCGCACGUACGCGCGUGCACGUGUUCCUCGCUUCCGCUCCUGGGACUGGGCGCCAUCUUGGGCUGGGCUUUAAAGCGUGGACGACUGGAAGAGUGUGGUUGCACGGUCUUCUCUUUGUUCCAAAUUUGAGGAAAACAAACCACCAAAAGAUGUUAGACAGUUCGGGGGGCUGGUUAUUUCUUCAGUUUUUCUCUAAAACUUCAGCUUGAGCAGGAAGGAGCCAUAAAUUCUGUGACAUAGCUGCCUUCUUAUCUGUCCUGGGAGUUAUAGACUACACACAGAAGACAAUUCAUGUACCUCUGCAUAAUGAGUCUAGUAAAUGGAACCCCAUCCUAUCUUUGCCUCAGGAAGAGUCAAUGAGUAAAAUAACUGAGCAUCGAAUAACCCUGGAUGACCCACAGAUCCUGAAGAACAGUUAAAUAAUUACCAAGAAGACCAAGAAGAGAAGAGUCUGUUAGAAGCAAAGAUGAGGUCAAGAAAGAGUAAGUGAAUUGACCAAGGUUAUGGAUUCAGGAAUCAACCUCAGUAGUCUAAUUUCACUGAAGGCCAUGUGAGCCAGAGAGAGCAGAGCACAGAGGCUCACAGGUUGGGUCAUCAUAGCUGAAGUGGUACCAGCUGCAGAGGUGUGAAACAGCCAACUAGCGGGUGGAACACCCACAGUGCCUCAUAUAACACUCAGAAAGUGGAAAUGACUUCAGAGACGUAAGGACCGAGUGAGGAUCGGUGGCAGGAGUGCG